AUAGGUUUUUACCACCUUCUGCUGAAUGGAAUAUUAGGCAGUAUGGCACUGAUUGUAUAGAUUCCCUUCAACUAAGGCAGUACUAUUACAAACUGACCCGUUGGAAUUGUCAUCCUGUAAGAAAGCUACAUGGAAGAACACUGAUCUCUCUGCGGUUAUUUUGAUCCCUGUGAUGUAUUCUCUAUUUUGCGUGCAGUGUGUAUACCCCACAUCAAAG